UAAACCUUCAGAUUAAACAUGAAUACAGAGAGUUUAGACUGUUGGUGAAUCAACAGACCUUAAAAAUCUCCUGCUCUGAGUUACAUGUUUAUUCUUCUGGUUGGAUUCCUGGUUGAAGCUGCUGAUAUAUUUCACCUUCACUCAUCGGCUUCAUUCAGAUGAUUUUCAGCAUCUAAAGGUGUUUCUCUGCUAUGGAUCAGUGUGAGGACAGAGAGGAGGGAGUCCCUCCCUCUAAAAGCUCUCUGUGUGGGGAACAUGACAGCCAGACCAAAGCUCAGAGGAUGCAGCAGCAGAGAGCAGACUCUCCUGAACCCAGCUGUGUGUCCAUGAAGAGUGACCGGUCUAUGGGUCAUCCUUUAAAGUUUAAA